CCUAAUUUGCACAUUUUAAGUUCUCUCUCAAGUCUAGACAUAACUGUUAUAAUUUAAAGCUUGCUCUAGACCUAAACUUGUGGGAUGAAAACUUGAUCUGAAAUCUAAGUUGUUAACGGAUACGAUAUGGGAAGGUUGAGCUGCUGUUUAUCUGUUUCUAGAGAUGCUAGAAUUCUGGAGAAUUUUAUCUUUGGAAAUCUUUAAAAUGUUGCAUGAUGAGUUCCUGUAUGAUGAGAGUUUAAAUUCCUACCACAGCCUUAUAUACAUGCUUGCUAGACUUCGAGCCACACAUUUACUUUUUACUGCUUAUGAGCAUUGAGUGUGGUCAAGCUGUGUAGACCCUUAGGAGCUUGUCAUGUGGUUAAAUCAAGAUUCACUUGCACGUUCACUCACACAUGCUACUUCUACUCCGGAAGUACCAUCCACAUAUAUCCAUACAUUUCCAUCUUCAGAAUCACCCAAAAAUAUUCUACUCCUAAUCCGGCAGAGAAUAGCCAAAAAUAAUUUUGUUCUUCCUUGUGUAAUAAAUGUCUCAAGAUCAAUAAAGAGUAUUAUUAUUAUGUCUUGUGUGUCUCUACUUUAUUUUUGUGCAAGAAAGCAGAAAACAAGUAUGGCGGAGAUCCCUCGACAUGCUAAACACACUCCGACUACACCAAUCCACGAUUCAGGUACACACUCUGCACACUUUACUUUACACAUAUAUAUAUUGUAGAUUAUGCAGAAUAUUGUUCCCGACAUGAUAAAAUAAAAAGAUUAAAAUAUUUCUAAUCAUGAUUAAUCUCAAUCUGUGAUAUUUCCUGAAAACUUGCAAAUUAUUAUAAAAUCAUUUUAAACCCUGUGUUACUUAAGUCAAUAUGGAAUAUGUGAUGAUAGAGUAUGAGUUUCUUAUUCUUGAUAUCAUUGUUGCUUGGAGAAUUUAUUUCAAAAUAUUCAAAAUUCUAGCUACCAACCUCAGUGUUUUAUAUGCCUGAUAAAACUGAAAAUAUUAAUUAUAAAAGCUAUUUGCUCUGUAUUGAGUUUGUUCAAAAUGAGUUAGACCCUUGUUGAGAGAUUUAUCAUGCUCCUAAGAUCAAGACAUUAUUUCAGUAAGAUUCACUCUUCCGAAGUAUUAUUGCAUUAGAGGCAUGGGCUAUGCAAAAAUAGAAGAUAUUUCGAGGAAAUAAAAAGGAGCAAGUGCUCGACAACCGCGCAGAAAAAAUGGACAAGUGUCCGGAAGUAGAAUUAGGGGUACCUCGGUAUCCACUUAAAAAAAAGAUAAAAGAAAAAAAAAUGACAGCCCAUGGUCCCUCUAAUAAGCAAUAUGCCAGCAAGAGUUGACAAAGUUUUUAAUUUCCAAAGUCUUUGAUCUAAGAGUAUGACAUUUCCCUCCUCGGAUCCCGUUUUGAUCAGGCAAUAAAUCCAAAGUAAGUAUGCUUGAGAAUUUUUGCAAAAUAAAACAGCCUCAGUGAGAUAUGUAUAAAAGAUAAUGAGUGAUCUGAGAGAACCUAUGAGGAUCAAAAAGGUAUGCUAACUUUCUUUCAAAAAUAUACAAAAACUCCAAGUGACAGGAUUGAAAAGAAAGAAUCUUUACUCUUAACCAUAUACUUCCCUGACUACAAUACACAGUGGAAUUUUUAACACCCUGCAAUUAUAAAGAGAAUGUUUUAAAUGUUUACCCCAGAUAUUAUUCUUAACCAUCCUUUUCUCGAGGACGAGUAAAAGCCUAAGUAUGGGGGUAUUUGUUGACGGUUCUUAAGUAUCAAUUUUAAUUAUCAAAUAAACAUGAGAAAGGACCAAUAUGCAACCAUCACCUAGAAUUAGGGUUUGAUCUAAUAGAAUUCCACGAGUUUUGUUGUUUAUCUAUUUCUGCAGGGGGUUAUCAGGAAAUAAGGAAGAAAGGCCCACAUGUCGGGAUUACAUAGAGAUAUCAACGCACCGCGUAAUUUUACAUCAUCUAGAAGACUCCAGAAGCCACGAGACCGAAGCGGAAGCGAAGCUGGGCCAGGCCCAGGGCGCCCGCCCUGGUAGCCUGGGCGCCCGCCCCCUGUUGGAGCCAAUUCAGGACUCCUUCGCUCGGGAUAUUCCACCGACCUAUUGGAUCAAGAAAAACAUAGUACCACCUCGCCUAUUGACCCAAAAACGCAUAGAAGGGGAGGACUAUAUAAGCAAGGCCCCCCUGGCCCCUGGAAGACAUGAAGAAAUUAUCAUAGAGACUGAGGGGUGCCCUCGAAGGAAAACCUCUUCUCUAAUUAAUAUUUCUUUUUAGGCUUAGCAAUCAAUGUAAGGUAGAAAUAGAUCUUCUAGUUUCUACUAGAUUGAGAGAGAUAGAGUGGAGGUGUAGAGUGGAGGAAGCCCGGCCUGUCGGUGUCUACUCCAAGCUUGUACCUGCGGGAUCAAGUUCUCCUAACCCGAAGCUUGCUCCUAGGAUUCUUCAGUAAUUCGACUUCUAAAUUCUAGUAAGUUAUUGUUUUAUUGUUCUUAUGGUUUAUGAGUUUACUUUAAUCUCUUCGCGUAGAGUUUAGAGUAAUCAUUGCUGGCGUAAACAUGGUGUUUAGGCUGGGGUACUCAUAGAUAUUCCCUGACUAGCUAGACCGUGGUAGUAGUGAGGAACGUGACAUUUCCGAGCUACCUUUGUAGAUAACAUCUCGUUAGCAGGAAGGAUAGGGUUUAUAGGUGCGGGUUGAACAUCCUUUGUGGUGUCUAGAUUCCGUUAGCCUCCCCAUUAGAAUAGUAGAUCAUCCUUACCAAGGUUAGAAGGAGACUACGGUUGCAGUCUUCUCUAUUUAUCACUCACAUCGAAAGACAUUCUUUGUGCCUAAAGGGAUAGUAGCAAUAGAUUUGGUUAGUCAGAUGCACCCUUUCUCCCAGUGGUAAAAAUAUAAAUACGAUACUCUGGAAAACCUCCCGGGUGAAAUGCUCACCGAUAUCCGUGCGCUUGCGGAUCAUUUCCUUAUUGCGUUACCAAAUAUCAACAAGCAUUUGGAUCCUUUUCCAUGAUUAAUUGAUGGUUAAUUGUGAGCAUUAAGGACCGUCAACAACAACCAACACCCAAAAUUAGGGUUUCAUCUGACAUAAUUACACGAGUUUUGGUGUUUGUCUAUUUUUGUAGGGGGUUAUUAUGAAAUAUGGAGGAAAGGCCCACACGUCGGGUUUACAUAGAGAUAUUAAUGUGUGCGCCAAUUUUCUAUCAUCUAGAAGACUCCAGAAGCCAUGGGAACGAACGGGAGGCCGAGCGGGCCCGGGGGCUGGGCGCCCGCCCUCCACCCUUGGGCGCCCGCCCUGCCCUGGUGACCAAUCAGGGCAGGUCUCGCGGAUCGUGCUCCACUACCUUUGAGGAUCAAGGAAAACCGUGCGAUUAAGGUCGUUUUGAUCUGACGGCCCACGUUCAUUUGGAAGGGCAAUAUAAGCAGGCCCCCCUGGCCCCUGGAGAACAUAUCUCUUCUACAGAAUCAAAGCUAGGGUUUCAAUUAUUCAUCCAAGUAGAGAUGAUCCCUCUAGUUCAUCAAGUUCUAGUUCUAGUUCAUAUAGUUCUAGUUCUAGUUAGUUCUAGUUGUAAUCUAGAAAAUAGGGGGAGAGAAGAGGAGAGCGGAGGAGGAGCCAGAUCUGUUGGAUCUUCCUCAAUAUUGUACUUCUGCAGCAACUGGUUCGUUAUUCAUCGUUCUCCAAGUUCUUCAAUUCAUAAUUCCUGAGUUCUUUUAUUAUUUUUAUUUGCAUUCAAGUUUUUUAUUGGAUUCCCGCUUGCAUCAAGUGCUGUAGUCUUUAUAACGUUAGAGUAGUAAUUAAUAGAUUAGACAUGGUGUUUAGUCUUGCAAUUACCUGGAAUUGCACCUAAUCCUGCGAAUUGUUGUGGUAGCCGUAGAGUAGUGACAGCCCUAACGGUCGACGUAUUCCACCUCGUUCGGAUCGGUGUUUGUAGGACCAUAGUCAGAGCUUCCUAGCCCCCUUCUCAUCUCUUUCUGUGAUUAGUGUUCUGAUGUCCCAAAAUAAAUAAUCUUUGAAGUAAUUCUUGAUUCUUAGAUCAACUAGAGAACUCUCAGGAAACUUCCUCUCUUCCCACCAAAAAUAAUUAUAUAGUUAUCCUUGGGUGAUCUUGAUUCUUAAUUAAUACACUCACGUUCCCUGUGGAAAAUCGAUACUCUGGAAUACUCCCGUGUGAAAGCUACAUCAGUAUCCAUGCGCUUGCGGAUUUUUCUGUUUGCGUUUAAAAUAGCCAAUAGACAUGAUCUAGAGGUAAGUAUAUAUCAUGCUUUAAAUAUCGAUGCCUGCUCGUUUACUUUAUUAUGCUAGCUAUACCUAAUCAAUGACCGUCUUAUUGGGCAGGGCUUGGGCUGGGCUACAACAAAGAUAUCGUACAGAUAUGAAUGUGCCACUUCCCCCUCCUGUUCUACUCCCUUGGGUGCCCACGCAGCCGUUUAGAACGAAUCUAUGUGGAUACUACGUUUGUGAAUUUAUGUGGUGCACCCUAUUUAAACCUGCUCAAAGUGUUCUAAAAGUAAGUAACAUGCAUGUGUAUACAGUAAAUUCAUAUCUUAUUUAUUUGUUGGAACUAAAUAGAUUUUAUGUAUAUUAAUAUCUUUUUUAACUAAUGCAAAUGGAAGGAGUGGAAUAUGAAAGGUAAAGUGUUUGAGUACACAUUACUCCUUAUAGUCCAGGACGAUCGCCGAAUUUAUCAACGAUCAUGUCAUUGUGGAAGACGACGAGUUCCACUUAUACCCAUAGGGCUUCAAGCCCAUUCCAAACAAGGACGAACACUUGUAUGAGCUUUGAGUGGGCGGGCAAACAUUAUGUAAUCAUUAACCGGCGACAGCACACUUGAUUAUUACUUGUACAUAAUAUUAUUAUUGUAAAUGUAAUGUGUUUGUACGUAUGUGUAUAGCUAUAUAAUAUAUAUAUAUAUAUUACGGAUAAUAUAUAUGUGUAGUUUCAUACUUUAUUUGUGUGCAAUAAUGACGCUCUCGUAUAGGUGCAACGUAUAUGGAUAAUAGUAGCGUAUAUGAAUAAAUUGGUGAACAUAUACAAUUGAAAACCAAAAUCAAUAAUGAAAUGAAAAUGAAAAAGAAUAAGAAAAAGGAAAAAACCCUUUAAUCCUGGUUGGUAAUACCAACCGGGACUAAAAGGGGUGGCGCCACGUCACUGCCUGGCACCCCCUCUAGUCCCGGUUGGUGUUACCAACCGGGACUAAAAGUCCCCCUUUAGUCCCGGGCCGGCGAGCCGGUACUAAAGGUGGGACUUUUGGUCCCGACCCCUUAGUCCCGUCUCGCCACCCGGGACUAAAGGUGGUUUUCGACCGAGACAAAAGGUCGGUCCUGUACCAGUGCUCGCUACUAUUGGAACCGAAAGCAGCUUGGUGACGGGACCCUGGUGGGGAUCGAGGCAGUGAUUCCUACCAGUGGAGGUGACCCCGCCUAGGGUGGCUGGGUGUACGAGUCCUGAGGCAGCACACCUUUCUAGGGUGCCAGCAGGGCUGCUUAUGCAGUUCUAAGGGAUAUCAUGGAGCGGUUUCCGCAAGAGCUAGCCCACGUCUUCGCUGGGGUGUUUCCCUGGGGUGACCCCUACACUUUGGUGUGGGAUCAGUCCGAGGUGAAUGCUCUAGAGUGGAGUGCGGAUGAGGAUCAGCACGGUGACAGUACAACUAUGAGUGCUAUGUUUGCCAUGAUGAAGACCUAUGGGGGUCUAGAGCGCUGUUUGGGACGCUUGUCUGGGUCUCUACUGACAAUUCAGGAUGAGAAGCGCCAGCUGUGGCAUGAGUUUGAUAGUGAGGUUGAGAGGCUAUAGGCAGAGUUGGCCCCUGUGACUCUAGAGAGGGACCAGGUAGUCCAGCAGAAUAGUGUGUUGAGUCAGGAUCUGCUAGCAGUGAGAGAGCAGAGGGGCAGGGUGACCAUAGCUCAUAGGAACAGCAAGCGCAUGCUAGUUCAUGUGCUUGGUUAGACGAAUGAAGCCUGGCAUGAGGAGGACACCCUGAGGGCCCAACAGCUGGAGCUUGAGCAGCAGCUAGCUAAUGCUGAGGAGUACAAUGAGAACCUGCAUGAGGAGAUCCACCAGCUGCAUAACCAGCUCCACCCUCACCACCUACCUGGAGCAGCUGAGUUAGACUUUGAGGAUGAGAUGGAUGAGGAUCCAGAGAUGGAGGCAGCCGCUAGUGGAGAUGAGGACGAGGAUGGAUCCAGCAUGGACAGCGACCAUAGCGAGUAGAUGCUAGGGCUCUAGAGCUAGUCCUUCUUCUUUUGCUGUUGUUGUUGCAUGGCAUGUGUUUGUAAUCUAUUGGAUCUGGGAUGUGUAAGACUUUAUGUGUUGAGUUGUGUUGACACUGAAAGUCCACUGUAUGUAUGCUGGCAAUUUUGGAUGUAUGCGAACCCUGUUGGCUAAAUGUUAAGUAAUCAGUUAGUGAUGUUGUGUGUGGAUGAUGAAUUAUUGUGCCUCUGUUUAUUGUGUGGAUUUAUUCUCAUCAGUAAAUUCAGUGUGGCAUGAUUUUGCAUAUGUCUACCGGUUGAUGGCAACUCCUAAUGACUGCUUAUUGUUGACGCAUGCAGAUGGUGCAAACGCGUGGCGGGGGUAACCGCAACCCUGGUGCUGGAGAAGGUUCCUCCGAAGGUGGGGCUCGCAUAAAUGAGGAAAGAGCACCAUCACCGCCACCACCACCGCCUCCUCCGUACACUGCGAUUUGUUUUUCACGCAGUUUCUAGGGAGCCAAUGAAACAUGGAGCAAAUGCAGCGAAACAUGGAAGCUGCCCUACGCAACAUCACUGACAACACCUGCCGUGGGGAUAACCAGGGAGGUCACGAAGUGAACCAGUAUAACUCUUUCAAGGACUUUAUGGACACAAAACCACCGGUCUUUAAAGAGGCCAUGGAACCGCUUGAGGCGGAUGACUGGAUUAACACCAUAGAGCAGAAGUUCCGUCUCCUUUAGCUGACCAAAGAGCUCAAGGUAGAGUACGCAGCGCAUCACUUGCACGGACCUGCUAGGAUAUGGUGGUCCCAUCAUCGUACCACCUAUCCAGAGGGGACCCCGAUCACCUGGAACCGCUUCACCACCACUUUUUGGGGAAAUUAUAUUCCUCUGAGUGUGGUGGAUUUGAAGAUUGGAGAAUUCAUGAAGCUGUCUCAAGGAACCAAGUCUAUGAAAGAGUAUCUACACGCUUUCAACAAUCUUGCUCGAUACGCUCUAGAGUUUGUUAACAAAGACGCCAAGAAGAUUGCUAGCUUCCAGAGAGGCUUGAGCCCAAAGAUGCUGAAGACUACGGGUAUAGGGACCCGAGCUACUUUUAGUGCCUACAUCAGCGACUGUCUUACCCAAGAGAACAAUAACAAUAACUAUAGUGCAUCCAAGUCACGUAAGAGGGCUUUUGAAGCUGGAUCGUCUCAGUCUAGGGCACCAGUGGCAGGACGUCAGCAGAAUCGUCGUCCUGCCCAAGGUGCUAGGUUCCGACCUCCAUAGAAAAUAAAUACAGGACAUCCCACUCAGGAGAAGCCGUACAAGGUAGCAGUGACCCCAGCAAAGCCAUGGGCGAAUCAAGCUGCAGCACCAAGUGCCAACACCAUGACCAAGGCACCGUGCUACAACUGCCACAAGAUGUGGCACUUUGCUAAAGAAUGUCCCUACCCCAAGAAGCAGCAGACAACCUAUCCAGCCCGUCUACACUACACCUCGAUAGAGGAGAUCCCAGAAGGAGAACCGGUUACAUCUGGUAUGUUCCCUAUCAACCAACAUCUUGCAAUUGUUUUGUUUGAUUCUGGAUGAUCGCAUUCAUUUAUGAGUCAAGCAUUUGCACAAAAGCAUGAUCAACUAGUUACCGAGUUGGGUUGUGGUUAUCGCAUCAGUUUACCUGGGGCUAAUGUGUUGACCAACAAAGUAGUAACAUGGGCUACCUUGCAUAUCAGUGGCCGAAUGUUUCGCGUAAACCUUGUAGUCAUGCUAGGGUUAGUUUUGGACGUUAUCAUUGGUAUGAAUAAGAUGACAGACUGGGGUGCAAUCAUAGAUGUAGGUCAGAGGACUCUCUCCCUUAAGGAUCCAUAGGGGGCGUGUUGGGUAUUUUAAACGCAAACAGAAAAAUCCGCAAGCGCACGGAUACCGAUGUAGCCUUCACCCGGGAGUAUUCCAGAGUAUCGAUUUUCCACAGGGAAUGUGAGUGUACUAAUUAAGAAUCAAGAUCGCCCAAGGAUAACUAUAUGAUUAUUUUUUUUGUGGGAAGAGAGGAAGUUUCCUGAGAGUUCCCUAGUUGAUCUAAGAAUCAAGAUUUACUUCAAGAUUAUCUAUAUCGGGACAUCAGAACACUAACCACAGAAAGAGAUGAGAAGGGGGCUAGGAAGCUCCGACUACGGUCCUACAAACACCGAUCCGAAUGUGGUGGAAUACGUCGACCGUUAGGGCUGUCACUACCCUAAGGCUACCACAACAAUCCGCAGGCUUGGGUGCAAUUCCAGGUAAUCGCAAGACUAAACACCACGUCUAAUCUAUUAAUUACUACUCUAGCGUUAUAAAGACUAGAGCACUUGAUGCAAGCGGGAAUCCAAUAAAUAACUUGAAUGUAAAUAAAAGUAAUUAAGGAACUCAGGAAUUAUGAAUUGAAGAACCUGGAGAACAAUGAAGAACGAACCAGAUGCUGCAAAAGUAUAAUAUUGAGGAAAAUCCGACAGACCCGACUCCUCCUCCACUCUCCUCUUCUCUCUCCCUAUUUUCUAGAUUACAACUAGAACUAACUAGAACUAGAACUAGAGGAACUAGAACUAGAACUAGAUGAACUAGAACUAGAUCUAGAUGAACUAGAGGUAGAACUAGAAGAACUAGAGGGAUCCUCUCUACUUGGAUGAAGAAUUGAAACCCUAGCUUUGAUUCUGUAGAAGAGGUAUGAUCUCCAGGGGCCAGGGGGUCUGGUUUUAUAGUCCCUUCAAGUGAAUCUGGGUCGUCGGAUCAAACCGACAUUGAUCGUGUGGUUCUCCUUGAUCCUUUAGGUCGGUGGAGCAUAAUCCGCGAAACGUGUCCUGAUUGGGCACUGUAGCUGGGCGGGCGCCCAGGAGAGUUGGGUGGGCGCCCUGCCUCCGAGCCCGAUUUCCUUCCCGUUCGUUCCCGUGGCUUCUGGAGUCUUCUAGAUGAUAGAAAAUUGCGCGACAUGUUAAUAUCUCUAUGUAAACCCGACGUGUGGGCCUUUCUUCCGUAUUUUCUGAUAACCCCCUGCAGAAAUAGACAAACACCAAAACUCAUGGAAUUCUGUCAGAUAAAACCCUAAGUCUAGGUGUUGGUUGCAUUUGGAUCCUUUUCCAUGAUUAGUUGAUGCUUAAAUGUGAGCAUUAAGGACCGUCAACAAGCUCCCCCAAGCUUAACCUUUGCUCGUCCCUGAGCAAAGAUGAACUCAAGAGUUUCUGCAGUGGUUUCAUGCCUUAAAGGUAAAUGCGUUCAAUCAAGAUCUCAUCUCUAGGUUAGGGUAAACUGUUAAGAUUUAAACUUACUCAUUUUACCUUCCACCAUGGGGCUUGCAACCGUCACUUGUGCCUUGAGCAGUUAAAAGAUAGAACGGUCUAGUCAAGCGCCAUGUCUCUUGUUCUUGAUCAACUAUAGCUCUGGAGUUUUUGCAGAUUUUCAAAUAAAAAUCAAAGAUUCCUUGUAUGACUCUCUCUAGUCUCUCUUUUGUGGUAUUUCUGGAUCCUUACCAAGGCAGUGAUGGUGUAUGCCUUCUCUCAAAGUAUGUGGUAUUUUUGGUAUGAGGCAUAGUGGCAUUGCCUUCUCUCUCACCCUACUCUAAUAAGGUUUUGAUAUCUGGAGCUCAUAGGUGGGAGACAGCUAAUACAUACUUACAAGACAUUUAUUGCAUAGUCAAACCAUGGAUCCAGAAGAACAAGUCAAUAAGUCAAAUCAAGAUGUGCAUGUGUGGCGAAUGAAUGGUGUAUGAUGAUGAUGGUGAUAACAAUGGUGAAAAUCUAAUCCUACUUGUGCUCUUUUGAGUGGAUACAUGCCUUUCUUGCUCUUUUGAAACUUUUUGAGGAGAAUGAGAUGCUCUAUAUUUUCUUUUUAUUUUCUCUCAGGUGGGUAUCUUGUACCCCUAAUUCUACUGUCGGACACUUUUCCAUUUUUACCUCUCGUCUCACUUUUUUUUUUCUUUCGAGGUUCCGGGCACUUGCCCCUUUUUAUUUCCUCGUAUUUAUUUUUUUCUCUCUCCUUUUUAGAGCACUCAUCUCCUGAAAUAAUAUAGCAAGUGGUAGUAACCAAGAUAACUUGAGCAUUUAUUUCAAAGGGGAAAACAUAAAUGUUUUUGGCUAUUCUCUCCCGGAUUAGGAGUAGAAUAUUUUUAGGUGAUUUUGGAGAUGAAAAUGGGUGGAUAUAUGUGGAUGCGUACUUCCGAAGUAGAAGUAGCAUGUAUGAGUGAACGUGCAAGUGAAUCUUGAUUUAACCACAUGACAAGCUCCUAAGGGUCUACACAGCUUGACCACACUCAAUGCUCAUAAGUAGUAGAAAGUAAAUGUGUGGCUCAUAGUCUAGCAAGCAUGUAUAUAUGGCUGUGGUAGGAUUUUAAACUCUCAUCAUACAGGAACUCAUCAUGCAACAUUUUAAAGAUUUUUAAAGAUAAAAUUCUCCAGAAUUCUAGCAUCUCUAGGAACAGAUAAACAGCAGCUCAACCUUACCAUAUCAUAUCCGUUAACGACUUAGACUUUAGAUCAAGUACUCUUCUCACAAUUUCAGGUUUAGAGCAAAUCUUAAUUAAUAACAGUCAUGCCUAAACAUGAGAGAGAUUUCAAUUUUAAGGACUAGUCAUGGUAGAGCAACUAUUCAUCAUUUCCAUUUGAGAGCUUAUCAUGAGGGUUCAUGGCAAACUUUAUUUAUUUAUUUAUUUAGCAAACUAAGCAAAGAUAUAUAUAUAAGCACAAAAUCUUUAUUUGGGUUUAUAUGAUUAUGCAUCUUUUUAUUAUUAGAGUAAAGUAUAAACGUGAGUAGAAUACUUAGCUGGAUAAAUGGGGGUGCUCUCCCCCAAGCUGGAUUUUGACGUAAUUUCUUCUCAUGUAGCUAGCAGGUGGCUGAGGUGUAUUUGAAUGUCGGUAGCACCCUGACAGCGAUUAGGAUGUCCUCCGUCUGCUAGUCUUCUUUGAUCCUUGAAUUCUGUGGAGCUCAAAUAGACAACAAAGCUUUGUGGAACUAGUUAAGUGUUAGCAUAAAUAUCUAGCCUUUAUCAUGUUGAGCCUCCUCAAUAAAUGUUACUCUCUUUAGUAGGAUUACAAUCUUAUUUAUAUUUUCAUUUUUAUAGGAUAGGAAUAUAUAUUUAUUUUUACGCCACCACAGUGAAUGUACUUAUGGGUUUUAUGGCAUGAGCAUCUCACAUGGGGCUUACUAUUUUUAUUUUUAUUUUCUUUUCAAGAUGAUAUGAACCUGAUUAACUAAAAUAAUUGAAAGGAAAAAGAUAACUACCAAGUUUACCUCUUGGCAAGGCGUUCGGUGUUUUUAAGUCCUCCGAACGGGACUCUCUAUUUUCUCAGUUGUCCAAGAAUUCGCUGGAUGGCGUAGUCGGUGGUUCCGGCGGCGCGUACUCUUCAUGUAUAACUAUCUUCUUUCUCCACACCUACCUUGGUGCACUUCUCCUUCGUACUCUGCCCAUCCGUCCUUUAUGAUUUUCCUCCUCUGGUUACGGUUGCGUCGUCUUCUUCUUGUCCUGACCUGCUUAGAGUCUUCAACUAUAUAGUUAGGGUCAGUAAAAUAGCGGCGUACCUUCUCAGAGGGGAAAUGCAUGUGGACUUCUCCAGUUCCAAUGUAGAUGAUCGCUUUAACGGUACUGAGGAACGGUCUUCCAAUGGUGAUGGGUGGACUGUACUCGUCUUCUCCCAUGUCAAUAACCUUAAAAUCAUCUAGAGGUGAAUGUAUGUUGGUUGUAGGGGCAUGGUUCCAUGCAGGAGCUCAUAAGUGACUGCGGCCAUUAUGUUGACGUUAGAUCCGGUGUCGUAGUGUCUUCUGAAAAGAAUAUCCGUUGAUUGUGCAUCGAUGCUUGGAACACCAGGGUCGUCCUUCUUGAUCAAGAAAGGUGACUUGAGUUGACGAUCUUAACCUCCUUGAGCUGCAGUGACCAUCUUAGCUGACUCGGUACACAUUUGCUUGUUCCUGUUCCUCCUAUUGGUCCUUCCUUGGUUCAUGUCAGGAUUGCUCUAAGAUUUGUGUAGUCUUUUUCUUGAAGAAAAACGUCUCUUUCUUCCCCUUGAUGUAGAAACUCAUCUUGGCAGCACUAGCAUAGAUGACAGCUCCCGAGGUGUUCAGGAAUGGCCUCCCUAGGAUUGGUGCCCUCUCAUCAGUACCAGUCUCUAUCACCACGAAGUCUGCUGGGGCGUACAAGGUACCAACUCGGAUGAAGAGGUUGUUCAAUGUUCUCUUUGGGAAACUUAGCGUACGAUCUGCAAGCUGCAAACACAUGGUUGUUUCUAGGAAAGGAUGUGUAAAGAAUUUUUCAUAGAGUACCCUGGGCAUAAUGUUGACACUGGAGCCAAAGUCAUAGAGUGCUUCUAGGAAGUCCACCAUACCGAUGCAGAUCGGGAUGACGGGGCGUCCUGGAUUGUCUCUCUUGACCGGCAGAAGGUCAGUAAUUACUUCUACAACGGGGUUACUCCAGUAGUUACGUCCUCAAGCAUCCUAGGGCAGUGAUUGCCUGAGUGUCCACUAUCUCUAGUGUGUUUGUGCUCGUAGAUCUAGGUUCAUCACUUGGUGGAGUCUGGGAGUUGUAAAAGUCCUUCAUAUUUUACUCGAAGUGUACCUGCUCAUAGACAAGGCAGAGAUCAAGUGCAUGGGCCCUGUUGGUGGAACACACCAACAGAACCAAAAGUGUAUUUGUUCUUCUCUAACCUUAAGCAUAGUGAGCAAGACAAAGUUGAUGGAUAAUAAGAUCAUGAGUGUAACAUUUAAAACAUUUGUCAGAUCAAAUCGCUCAACCUAAUGGAAAGAUAAUCUAUCUAUACUUAUGUUUUAUAUAUAUAUAUAUCUUCCAAAGAUUGAGUGUGCAACAUUUUAGUUCAUAUGAUUAGGAUUGUGGAAUCACAAAGGUGGAAGGACUAAACAUGUUGAAUCGAUUGGGUUGGUUAAUCUAGAGUUUUAAAUCAUACAUGUUUGUCUCUUUUAUUCAUGUGAACGCCAUAACCAAGGAGAAGCUUAUAAAAGUGAUAGUCAAGUACCUUAAGAUGUAACCUUACUUGAAGAGUGAUGGUACAGUAUGACCUUGUGGAAGCUUUCCUUUCUUAGCGGUUGUGCAUCGUGUUUGUAGCACCCUCCAUGGAUCAUCUCUUAUGAGCUAUGCCUUCCUUGUGUAAAUUGUUAAACUUUAUGUGUCUCUCUCUUUGUCUCCAAUGUGAGUUUGUCUCAGGACUUCCCAGGUCGAUAUUGAAAGUUUUCCUGCAGGGGUUAGUUCAACAAAAUAUCCAAUAUCUACUAUAGCAUACUAUCGACUCAGAUCAACCUAGACACCAUGUCUAAUUUGAUUUAGGAGGGAAUUUUAACCUAAGCACCAUGCUUAAUUUAAAAUCCUUUGGAAGUAAGAUCAUCAUUCCUAAACUAAGCACCAUGCUCAAUUAAGAGAUAAAUGAAACUACUCCAAACCUAGACAUAUACUAGAGCAAAUAAAGGUAGCAUGAAAGCAUUUAUAGAGAUCUAGUCAAGUGGAGAUGAAGUAGUGUGAUUAGUAUUUAACAAAUUCAGCAUGUCUCAAAGGUAGGGACAACCAACAUAGCAACAUGGCAAAGGAUGAUUUUAUGUAAAGUACUCCCCCAAGCUUGAAUUUUCCAAAAUUCAAGUUUGGAUGAAUUUAAUUCAAUGUUGUAUGAUGGUUGGUGGACAUACCUUGUGCUUGUCAUUCAUCCGAUCUUCUUGCUCCAAUCCUGAAAAGGUUAGUGACAAGAAUACCCGAAGGAAUAUUUUUACAAUUAUCCUUAUAUGCUCAACACACAAGGUAAUGUUGCAAAUAAUUAAAAGCUCAUGUUACAAUCUGAUCAGUGCUUGUUUUAGGACACUAAGCUUGUCCUUGGGAAACCAUCAAUUUAUGUCAGCGAAGUGGUUUCCCCUCCAACGCUGACCUAUAUCAAGAUCAACUCAACGAGAUCUGCAAUAUUUAUUAUAGACAUAUGCAUCGACAACCGCCCUUUUAAAGUUUUUAUAAAUAGAAAGGAUGAGGGGGUUGGAGAAACCAAUGGAAGAUGUUGCAUAUGAGCAUGGAGCAAAUGAAGUGGCUAUGAAAUAAAUUCCAUGCUCAUUAAUGCUUAGAGUGAAAUCCAUUUGGUGUGGUGACAAUGGUAAGGUGAGUGUGGUAAAAAGGAAAAGAAAAAGGAUACACGGACGACUUGGUUCGAAACUAGCACAGCUACCGUUUCCCGGCAACGGCGCAAGAAAGCUUGUUGGGUAUUUUAAACGCAAACAGAAAAAUCCGCAAGCACACGGAUACCGAUGUAGCCUUCACCCGGGAGUAUUCCAGAGUAUCGAUUUUCCACAGGGAACGUGAGUGUACUAAUUAAGAAUCAAGAUCGCCCAAGGAUAACUAUAUGAUUAUUUUUUUUGUGGGAAGAGAGGAAGUUUCCUGAGAGUUCUCUAGUUGAUCUAAGAAUCAAGAUUUACUUCAAGAUUAUCUAUAUCGGGACAUCAGAACACUAACCACAGAAAGAGAUGAGAAGGGGGCUAGGAAGCUCCGACUACGGUCCUACAAACACCGAUCCGUAUUUCCUGAUAACCCCCUGCAGAAAUAGACAAACACCAAAACUCAUGGAAUUCUGUCAGAUAAAACCCUAAGUCUAGGUGUUGGUUGCAUUUGGAUCCUUUUCCAUGAUUAGUUGAUGCUUAAAUGUGAGCAUUAAGGACCGUCAACAGGGAGGGCACGCUUUAGGUCAGAUUACCCUGCUGAUUUGACUUUGCCAGUCUUUCUUGUGUUGUGCAAGUGAUUCUGUUAGAGCACAUACCUAUGGUCUGUGAGUUUCCUGAUGUUUUUCUAGAAGAGUUGCCAGGACUUCCCCCAGAUAGGGAAGUGGAGUUUGCUAUAGAGUUGAUACCAGGUACAACACCAAUCUCGAGAAGACCGUACCGGAUGCCACCAAAUGAGCUCGAUGAAUUGAAAACUCAAUUGAAGGAGUUGCUAGACAAAGGUUUCAUCCAACCGAGUUCGUCUGAAUGGGGUUUGUCCGGCACUAUUUGUGAAAAAGAAGGACCAAUCCUUGCGCAUGUGCAUGGACUACCGUCCACUCAAUGCGGUGAUGAUCAAGAAUAAGUAUCCCUUGCCAUGGAUUGAUAUCCUGUUCGAUAAAUUGUCAAAGGCAAAAGUGUUCUCCAAGAUAGAUUUGAGGUCUGGGUAUCACCAGAUCAAGAUCCGCCCGCAAGAUAUACCAAAGACUACUUUUUCCACCAGAUACAGAUUGUAUGAGUAUAUUGUCAUGUCCUUUGGAUUGACGAAUGCUCCUGCAUACUUUAUGUAUGUGAUGAACUCAGUCUUUAUGCCAGAGUUAGACAAGUUUGUUGUAGUGUUCAUCGAUGACAUUCUGGUUUAUUUAGAGAAUGAGCAAGAUCAUGCUGAGCAUCUAAGGGUCAUGCUGACACUACUGCGAGAACAUCAGUUGUAUGCGAAGUUCAGCAAGUGUGAGUUCUGGCUUAAGAAAGUUCCAUUCCUAGGGAACAUUCUGUCGGAAGAAGGGAUCGUUGUGGAUCCAUCAAAAGUACACGAAGUUAUGGACUGGAAGGGACCUACUUCUGUCUCAGAAGUUCAAAGCUUUCUUGGGUUAGCCGGGUAUUAUCGUCGUUUCAUCCCCGACUUCUCCAAGAUUGCUAAGCCAAUGGCCAGUUUGCUACACAAGGAUCAUAAUUUCACCUUGAUAGAGGGGUGUGAAGUAGCCUUCAACACCUUGCGAAAGCUACUGACCACUACUCCUGUUCUAGCACACCGAACAUUGAGAAGCCUUUUGAUGUGUUUUGUGACGCAUAGAAAAGUGGUUUGGGAUGUGUGCUGAUGCAUGAAGGCAGAGUUAUAGCUUAUGCUUCACGACAGUUGAGAAAACAUGAAGUCAAUUAUGCAACCCACGACCUUGAACUAGCAGUUGUUGUACACGGUCUAAAGAUCUGGAGGCAUUAUGUGCCUAGGUGUUAAUGUCAUAUCUACACAGAUCAUAAAAGCCUUAAGUACAUCUUUACUCAAUCUGAGUUGAAUAUGAGGCAACAAAGAUGGUUAGAGCUGAUCAAGGACUAUGAUCUUGAGGUCCACUACCACCCAGGCAAGGCUAAUGUGGUAGUGGAUGCCUUAAGUCGUAAACCACACUAUCAAGUGGUCCAACCUUUGUUUGAAGAUGGUUUCAAUCUAAUGCAUCCUGAUGUUCUAUGUCAUAUACAGCUCAGUUGUUCGCUUGAGAGUCAAGUUAUCGAGGGCCAGAAGUCAGAUAAGGGCAUUUCUCACAUCAAAGAAAAGAUCAAAGAUGACCCCAAAACUCAGUUUCGAGUGGAUCAGAGAGGGGAACUUUGGUUCCAACAUCGGUUAGUGGUUCCGAAGAAUCGAGACCUAAAGAUUCGAAUCAUGGAUGAAGCACAUCUUUCAAAGCUUUCUAUCCAUCCCAGGAGUAGUAAAAUGUAUCAAGAUCUGAAGUCUCACUUUUGGUGCACCAAAAUGAAGAAAGAAAUAGCAGCAUAUGUGGACCGAUGUGACAUGUGUUGCCAAGUCAAAGCUAUACACAUGAAACUCGCAGGGUUGCUGCAACCGCUGUCAGUCCCAGAGUGGAAGUGGGAAGAGGUCAGUAUGGACUUCAUCAUAGGACUACCGACUACGCGAAAAGGGAAUGACUCGAUUUGGGUAAUAAUGGAUCGGUUGACCAAAUCGGCUCAUUUCAUCCCAGUUAAGACUCGCUAUAGACCUCCGAGUAUGUUGACUUAUACAUGGCUGAGAUCGUCAAGUUGCAUGGUAUCCCCAAGACCAUUGUUGACAGUCCUUAAGUACUAAAUUUAACCAUCAAAUAAACAUAGAAAAAGAUCAAUAUGCACCAAACAUCCAGAAUUAGGGUUUUAUCUGACAGAAUUCCACGAGAUUUGGUGUUUAUCUAUUUCUGCAGGGGGAUAUCAGAAAAUAUGGAGAGAAGGCCCACAUGUCAUGUUUACAACGAGAUAAUUACGUGCUGUGCAAUUUUCCUCAAUCUAGAAGAGUCCAGAAGCCACGGGAACGAACGGGAGACCGGACGGGCUCGGGGGCAGGGCGCCUGCCCUCCCCCCUUGGGCGCCCUCCCAGGUCUCGGGGCCAAUCCAAACCAAACUCUUGGAUUGUGCUCCACCGACCUAAAGGAUCAAGGAAAACCGUGUGAUCAAUGUCGGUUUGAUCCGACGGCCCAAAUUCACUAAAAUGGACUAUAUAACCAAGGCCUCUCCACCCCUGGAGAAGAGAAGAGAAGAGGAGAAAUCAUUAUCAGAGGUAGCCAUCAAAGUUGGGGUUUAGAGCUUCUCUCCCACAGAGAAUUAGAAUUAGCUACUCCCUAAUCCUUCAAGUUUAGAGGUUUGAUUAGAUAGCAAUUAGAGAAGUAGAGCACUACACUCUAGAUUCUGAUCUUCGGUAAUAAAGAUUGGUAUUAUUCAUAUCUUUCUCUAAUACUUUGUUCCAAUUACAGUAUGUCUCUAUUUAUUAUGUUCUUAGUUUGCUCUAGUUCUAUAUUUGAUAUAGUUAUGAUUGAUAAUGAGUUUAUGUAUAAGUUUGCAAAGUGCUUAGCUCUUAACUCGAGGGAGUUAAGUGGUAGAUCACAUGUGGGCGUGGUGCUUAGAUGUUAUUUACCUGCAAAUGUAUCCUAUUGGCCGGAUUGUGUGGUAGUUCGCGAUAGUGACAGCUUCGUUGAUUCUUAAAUAGUCCACCCUCCGUCGAUAGGACAUGCAGAAUUUGUAUUGCGAAGUCUUACGAUGUUCUGAUUUACUUUAGCAAUGUUCCGUGUACAUGAAUGAAGAGUCUUUUAUGCUAUACAUGAUCUUGUAGAUAACUAGAGUAGAUUGUGGCUUAAUAGAUAGUAGAUAUCUUAGAAUCCAUUCUCUAGCUAAUCCGACGUCACCUACAUAUAUGAGGAGUAGUCUAUUUUCUAAUCGCUGUGUUAUUUAUCCAUGAACUUAUAAUUCAUUAUCAUUAUCUUUAUGGUUUACCCCUGCCAAAGUAAGUGACUGUGUGAUGAGUUUCUCAUUAGUAAUCAUGUUCUUGCAAGUUUAUCUCUAGUCUAUGCCUUGAUAGAUUUAGUCCUUAUUUUAAUUUCACCCCUUGUUCACUUAAGCAAAAUUAUAAAUAACGAUACCUGGAAUACGUAUCCUGGUGAAAUGCUAUAAUGAGGUGUUUUAUCUGUGCGCUUGCAGAUAGAAUAGAUUAUUUUCUAGAGAGCCUCCAUAUUUAUAAAUACCUUUGUACACUCUGGCACCAAGCUGGGGAUGACAACCUAGUAUGUAAGUGGUGUUAGCUAGUGUCAACAAACAUUUCUGGCGCCGUUGCCGGGGAAUCAAAAGGGUAACACAUAGGAAUGGUAAGGAAAGUCAAGAAACCAGUUAAGGUUAUUCAUAUAAAAUAUUAGACUAGACUAUAGAGAAAUAAUUGCAUAAAACAGCUACUAAGUGAGAAAUCAUAACAAGGCACCUCUGCUUUGGCAGGUUCACCCUAUUGUUUUUCUAUGUUUGUAUUUUUAUACAGGGUAUAUCAGGAUUGACUUUGGUACAUUCAACUCUUCAUCAUUAGAACCAAAGCAAUCAAGAAAGAAAAAAGCUAGCUACCAAUUGCUGAAGCUAUGGCACAGAAGACCCUACAAGAAUUCUCUGCUCCAAGUCUUGAGAACAUUCCAACUGGUCCAAGAUUUGCAGUAGGAGUACCCGAGUUUGAGCUCAAGUCAAGCCUCAUCAAUUUGGUGCAAGCUACACAAUUCAGUGGAAAGGCACAUGAAGAUGCUAGUGCACACAUGCAGAAUUUUUUAGAAAUUAGAAACACAAUCCACAUCAAUGGAGUCGACAAAGACGUCAUACUGCUUCGCCUUUUUCCAUUCUCACUAGAAGGGAAAGCAAGGAAGUGGUUCUACACUCAUCAAGAUAACAUCAACAACUGGACGAAAUUGUCAGAUGCCUUACUAUUAAAGUUUUUCCCUAUAGGCAAAACAACUGCCUUAAGAGUAAAUAUUGUCAGUUUCCAACAGCAGAAGACAGAAACCAUUUCAGAAGCAUGGGAGCGUUUUCAAGGAUACAUAUCAGAUUGUCCUCACCAUGGAAUGGCCACAUGGUUACUUAUGCAGAACUUCUACCAUGGAUUAAUCCAGAAGGCUCGUGAGUGCCUAGAUGCAUCUCAUAAAGGAUCAUUCUUGGAGCUUACAAUUGGAAAAGCAGAGAUACUUUUGGAUAGGAUAGCAUAAAACCAAAGCUGGUUCCAAGAUGAAGCUCAACAAUGUCAUCAAACUGAAGAAAUACCAGAAGAAGUAAAUGCACUAUCAACCAAGAUGGAAAAUUUGCUCCAUUGGAUUGACCAGAGGGCCAAGUUCAAAGAAGAUCAAAGGGCCAUUGAGACAGCACACAAAUAUCAAUCUACUUCGAGUCAACCCAAUAGCAAAGGUAUGAAUUCAGGUAAUACUUUCAAGCAACUUUCAUUAAAAGAGAUAAUUGCUCAACAAAUAAAAAUUAAUGAUGAAGUUAAACAAAGGCUAGACACAAAUGAAUCAUCUCAAAAAGAUAUACACAAUAAAAUGGAUUUUCUAUUAACUACCUUUGAUGAGCAAAACACUCUUAAUAAAAGGGUAGAGCUUAAAUUAAUAAAGAUAGCUGCUGCACUGCCUGUUGCUACUAACAUUGAGCAGGUAAAGAAUAUAACUACUAGAGGAGGCAAAGCCACCAGGGAUCCCCCAUACCCAAAAGAGAAACAAAGAACAUCAGCACCAGUGCAACCAGCAGUGAUAGAAGAAGAAAGCCCAGUUGAAGCAGAAGACCUGCUGCAACCACCAAGAACUAGAGAAUUGAGGAAAGAUUUUUACGACACCAACUAUUUGGCAUUUCCUAGAAGAAAUAGAGACUGCAGUCGGAUGAGCAGUUUGGUAAGUUUGUUGAGGUCAUUCAGAAAUUAUAUGUCAACAUACCUCUACUUGAUGCCAUACAGGUACCUACAUAUGCAAAGUGCAUCAGAGAUAUUCUUUACAAGAAGAGACCACUGCCCACCACUGAGGUUAUCAAGCUGACAGAAGAAUGUAGUGCGGCCAUCCUCAAUAAACCACCAAGAAAGAAGAAGGAUACCGGAUGUCCCACUAUUGAUUGCUCGAUCAGAAACUAACACUUCAACAAUGCACUUUGUGAUCUUGGAGCCAGUGUCAGUGUGAUGCCAGCAUCAGUCUACAAAAAGCUUGAGCAUACGACCCUAGAACCAACAUCAAUGUGCCUGCAACUAGCAGAUCAAUCGGUUCGACACCCAUUGGGCAUCGCCGAAAACAUUCCAGUCAAGAUCAGAGAUUUCCUGGUGCUAGUAGACUUCAUGGUACUGGACAUGAGUCCUGACUCCAAAGUGUCCAUCAUUGGAAGGCCAUUUCUGAGCACUGCCAAUGCCCACAUUGAUGUCGGGAAAGGAGAAAUCAAGUUCAACAUAAACGGAAAAGAAGAACACUUCACAUUCAAACCCAGACCAGAGAGAGACCCUACAGUGAAGGAAGUUCAUGAAGAACCACUGGAGACACCAUCUCUGGAGGAAGGUAAUUCAGAAGAUUAAAAGAUUUGGAGGUCCAGCUUGGGGGACCUAAAAAUCCCAAACCCUCACCGGGAGGUAAAUCGGUAUUUAUCCACAUUAUUAAUUCUUUCAUAAUUAAUUCUUGCAUUAGUCAUAUUUAUUCAUAGCAUUACUAUAAUAAUAAAAAUCCCCAUAUAAAUAAUAUUUAUGGUGUGUAACAACCCAUAUUUAUUAAUUAUUGUGGAGGCACAAAAAUAUUUUCCAGUAUCAUUUCAAAUAAGUUUCCAUUCUCAUGGAUUUUCUUGCAUUAUAUUAUAGCAACCUUUUAGAAGCAUGACCCACACUCCUUGGGUCCCACAUGUCAUACACCACUCCUCACACACAUCGCAUCACAUUAUUUGAUCCACCAGCAUAACUCCACUCACCAGCACUUUUCCACCGGCCAACCACCACCCAUGAUCUAUUAUUUUGCGUAAGAGUUAAGCAAAGGAGGGAGUGGAGAAAGGGCAGCCAGAAUGGGCACCACAAGUGGUCGCCCGCUGUUGACACUAGCUAACACCACUUGAAUACUAGGUUGUCAUCCCCAGCAUGGUGCCAAAGUGUACAAAGGUAUUUAUAAAUGUAAAGGCUCUCUAGAAAAUAAUCUAUUCUAUCCGCAAGCGCACAGAUAAAACACCUCAUUGUAGCAUUUCACCAGGAUAAGUAUUCCAAGUAUCGUUAUUUAUAAUUUUGCUUAAGAGGACAAGGGAUGAAAUUAAGAUAAGGACAAAAUCUAUCAAGGCAUAGACUAGAGAUUUCCUUGCAAGAACAUGAUUACUAAUGAGAAACUCGUCACACAGUCACUUACUUUGGCAGGGGGUAAACCAUAAAGAUAAUGAUAAUGAAUUAUAAGUUCAUGGGUAAAUAUCACAGCGAUUAGAAAAUAGACUACUCCUCAUAUAUGUAGGUGACGUCGGAUUAGCUAUAGAAUGGAUUCUAAGUUAUCUACUACCUACUAAGUCAUAAUCUACUCUAGUUAUCUACAAGAUCAUGUAUAGCAUAAAAGACUCUUCAUUCAUGUAUAAGGAAAAUUGCUAAAGUAAAUCAGAACAUCGCAAGACUUACUCCGCAAUACAAGUUCUGCCUGUCCUAUCAACGGAGGGUGGACUAUAUAAGAAUCAACGAAGCAGUCACUAUCGCGAACUACCACACGACCCGGCCAAUAGGAUACAUUUGCAGGUAAAUAACAUCUAAGCACCACGCCCACAUGUGAUAUACCACUUAACUCCCUCGCGUCAAGAGCUAAGCGCUUUGCAAACUUAUACAUAAACUCAUUAUCAAUCAUAACUAUAUCAAAUAUAGAACUAGAGCAAACUAAGAGCAUAAUAAAUAGAGACAUAAUGCAAUUAGAACAAAGUACUAGAGAAAGAUAUGAAUAAUACCAAUCUUUAUUACCGAAGAUCCGAAUCUAGAGCGUAGCACUCUACUUCUCUAAUUGCUAUCUAAUCAAACCUCUAAACUUGAAGGAUUAGGGAGUAGCUAAUUCUAAUUCUCUAUGGGAGAGAAGUUCUAAACCCUAACUUUGAUGCCUACCUCUGAUAAUGAUUUCUCCUCUUCUCUUCUCCCGCCCAGGGGUGGAGAGGCCUUGGUUAUAUAGUCCUUUCAAGUGAAUUUGUAUCAUUGGAUCAAACCGACAUUGAUUGUAUGAUUUAGAUUCAUCCUUUAGAUCGGUGGAGUUUAGUCCCGAAAGAGUGUCCUGAUUGGACUCUAACCCUGGGCGGGCGCCCAUGGGGGGUGGGCGGGCGUCCUGCCCCCGAGCCCGAUCGUCUUCUCGUUCAUUCCCGUGGCUUCUGGACUCUUCUAGAUUGAGGAAAAUUGCACGACAUGUAAUUAUCUCGUUGUAAACAUGACAUGUGGGCCUUCUCUCCAUAUUCUCUGAUGACCCCAUGCAGAAAUAGAUAAACACCAAAGCUCGUGGAAUUCUGUCGGAUAAAACCCUAAUUCUAGAUGUUUGGUGCAUAUUGAUCCUUUUCCAUGUUUAAUUGAUGGUUAAUUUUAGUACUUAAGGACCGUCAACAAACUCCCCCAAGCUUACCCUUUGCUCGUCCCUGAGCAAACAGCUAAACUCAGACGGAUCAGGAAUUGCUUCGAUGUUUUCUUUCCUUACAGGCACACAUGCUUUUAUAAAAUUCUUCCAGAUUAGAGUGAAGUGUUAUGGAACUUAGUACCUGCACUUAAGUCUUAAGUAAUCGAAAGACAAAAUAAUUAAGUCAAGCACUAUUCCUCCUGUCUAUACUUCACCUUUGUUCCGGAGUUUUGCAUAAGUUUUCAAAAUAAAACUCAGAGUUCCCAGCAAUGAUUAUCUCAAGUCUCUCUAUAUAUGGUAUUUGUGGAUCCUUACCAAAAUGUCACUUACCUAUAGCUAAUGGAAUAUUUAAGUGGAGCUCAUAGGAGUGAAAAACAGCUCAUACAUAUGUUGUCUAAUCGAGCCAUGGAUCCAAAGGAACUCAACAUAUAAUUAAAUCAAGAUGUGCAUGUGUGGUGGAGUAAAUGAUAGUAAUGGUGAAAAUAUAGUUAAUGAUAAAGCUUACUUCUCAUUGCUCCUCAUAUUGCUAUCUCUCCUCUCCUUUGAUCUUUUCUUUGGGAGAACAUGGGCUAUCUUUUUUCUUUUUUUCAGGUGGGUAGUAGACACCCCUAAUUCUACUGUCGGACACUUGUCCAUUUUUUCCGCUCAAGUGGGCAUCUUUGUACCCCUAAUUCUACUCCGGACACUUGUCCAUUUUUACCUCUCAUCUCACUCUUUUUCUUUCUUUUCCGAGGUUUCGGGCACUUGCCCCUUUUUAUUUCCUCACAUAUUUUUGCAUAACCCAUGCCUCUUCUGCAUUGAAUCUUUUUAGAGAGAGAGAAUAACAAUAUUUGGGACAGUGAGUGAUAAUAUUUUUAGCAAUUUUAAUAAUUGAUGGUGGAUGGUGUAGUAGAUGUGUGCAAGUGAAUAUCUUAAUUUAACCACAUGAAAAGCUCCUAAGGGUCUACACAACUCGAUCAAACUCAAUGUAAAUAUUGUAAAAGAUGUUAUAAGUAUGGUUGUGGUAGGUAGUUGGUAAUGCUAGGAACUCAUCAUGUGAUUUGUAAGUUUUUAAAAUAAAUCUCCAGAACUUAGUGUAGUAGGAACAAGAUAAACAGUAGCUCAAACUUUAUAUUAUGUUCUUCUCUUACCUGGACUUUAGUUUUAUGCUUCCCAUAGAUAGUAAUUUUAGUUUUAGUAAUUCCUGGAAGAACUCUAAUAUAGAAGCUAGGUACUUGUAAGUAAGCAAACAGAGCAACUGUUCAUCAUUUCCAUCAUGAAUCUUUUUGGUCUUUUUAUUUUUCUAGAGAUUAACGCUUAGCAAAAAAUAAAGCACACUUAUCUACACACUCUUUUUAUUUUGUUUUCAUGUUUAUAAAAUGCAGUAAAUUAAAGCAAGAAAAUAUUUAUUGGGUUUUCUAAGUUUUUCUCUUUAAGAUAAAUAAAACACUAAAAUAGAAAAGAAUUAAUAAGAAGAGCAAAUAAAAACUUCUUGAUAAAUAGGGGAGGAACUCCCCCAAGCUGGAUGUUGAUGUCGAUCUUGCCCGAUGUUCUAGAACCGCAUCAUGGUUGUGAUGUUGUCGUUCAUUGUUGUUAUAUCUUGUCUCAGCUCUUGUACUGCAGUGGUGUGGUCCUGGUUCCAUUUCUGCUGUUCUUCCAGGAGUCAUCCAUGUUCUACUUGCGUGUUCUGGAUGUCGAGGAGGGUGUUGUCGGUACGGGUGAAGAAACCGCCAGCCUCUUGGUAGUAGUCAUUCGUGAAAGCGUAGGAGGCGUCGGAGUAUCGUCCUGCAUCGAAUUGGGGCAGAGGUCUGGAUCCUGAAGCUCCAUAUGGAUCAGUGGAGUACCUGCCCAUAUGAAAAGGCGGGUUUGUCCACUGGUGAUCUUGGCUCUCCGGCCAUGUCUCCUGUGUUGGCUCUUGUGGUUGCGCAUGUCGAACCCAUGGGUCUCGAAGGACUCGGGGGUUGUAGUCGCUAUAAUGCAGGUGCGCUGCUUCUUCCGGCCCGGGAUCAGCUCCAUACUGUUGACGGUCCUUAAAUAUCAAAUUUAAUUAUCAAAUAAAUAAAGAAAAGGAUCCAAAUGAAAUCAACAUCUAGACUUAGGGUUUUAUCUGACAGAAUUCCACGAGUUUUGGUGUUUGUCUAUUUCUGCAGGGGGUUAUCAGGAAAUAAGGAAGAAAAGCCCACAUGUCAGGAUUACAUAGAGAUAUCAACCCACCGCGCAAUUUUCUACCAUCUAGAAGACUCCAGAAGCCACGGGAAGGAAGCGGAGCCCGAAAGGGGCCAGGCCCAGGGCGCCCGCCCUGAGGACCUGGGCGCCCGCCCCCCUCUGGACUCCGUUCCGGACUCUCUUCGCACACGACGUUCCACCGACCUAUUGGAUCCAGAAUAACAUAGUACCACCUCGCCUAUCGACCCAAAAACGCAUAGAAGGGGAGGACUAUAUAAGGAGACCCCCUCUGGCUCCUGGAGAAGACAAGAAAUUAUCAUAGAGAUUGAGGGGUGCCCUCGAAGGAAAACCUCUUCUCUAAAUAAUAUUUCUUUUUAGGCUUAGCAACCAAUGUAAAGUAGAAAUAGAUCUUCUAGUUUCUACUAGAUUGAGAGAGAUAGAGUGGAGGUGUGGAUCGGAGGAAGGCCGGCCUGUCAGUGUCUACUCUGAGUUGUACCUACGGGAUCAAGUCUCCUAACCCGAGGCUUGCUUCUAAGAUUCUUCAGUAAUUCGACUUCUAAUACUAGUAAGUUCUUGUUUUAUUGUUCUUUGGUUUAUGAGUUUACUUUAGUCCUCUUCCGGUUGAGUAUUAGAGUAAUCACUUGCUAGCGUAAACGUGGUGUUUAGGCUAGGGUACUCAUAGAUAUCCCCUGACUAGCUGGACCGUGGUAGUAGCGAGGAACGUGACAUUUCCGAGUUACCUUUGUAGAUCACAUCUCGUUAGCAGGACGGGUAGGGUUAUAGGUGCGGGUCGAACAUCCUUUGUGUUGUUUAGAUUCCGUGAGCCUCCCCAAUAGAACAGUAGAUUAUCCUUACCAAGGUUAGAACGAGACUACGGUUGCUGUCUUCUCUAUACAUCACUCACAUCGAGAGACAUUCUUUGUAGCCUAAAGGGGUAAUAGCAAUAGAUUUGGUUAGUCAGAUGCACCCUUUCUCCCAGUGGUAAAAAUAUAAAUACGAUAACUCUAGAAAACCUCCCGGGUGAAAUGCUCACCGAUAUCCGUGCGCUUGCGGAUCAUUUUCUAAUUGCGUUACCAAAUAUCAACAAGCAUUUCUGGCGCCGUUGCCGGGGAGAAAGACGGUUUGCUGAGAUAACUUUGAGUCUUGCUAUUAUCUUGUAUUAUACUUUUAUACUUUUAUUCUUUUAUCUUUUUAUUUUUAUCUUUAUGGAUAACUCAAAUUCCAUACCUAUUAUUAAAUUCUUUGCACCUUCGGAGACCAGCCAUAGAACAUGGGAGUCAACACGUCCUGCCCCUAAUUAUGAUCUGUGUCCGGAGUUGAUUGCAAUAGGUCAAAACCAACCCUUUUCUAUAGCCGAGGUCCUAUCUUUUAAUCAAAAAGAUAAUGCACUUUUAGCUACACCUAGGGAAUCUAUUAAUCUUUUUAUAAAUUCUGGUUUAGACCUAGCCCUACAAGACCAUGUUUUUCCUAGAUAUUUUCACAUUGGUCUUAAUCAUAUAACCUUUGGUAGAGUCAUUUUUUCUUUAUCUAUUAGUAAAGGAAGGUAUGUCUUCAUUUGUGGACAUCCUUCUUGUACUAGUCUUCAUAGAAUAAUCUUAGAGAUACAGAAGGAAUCAUCUCCCAGACGAGGAAAGGAAGUUUCAAUAGCCGAUUUCCAAACAUUUCAAUCCCAUGAUUCGGCUAUCCAUCCCAUCCUUGAGCUUAAUAAAUUCUACUAUGCUCUUUUUCUUAAACCUCCCGAUAAUCCUAUGAAUUUCUCUAGACAUCCCAUGCAUAAGAAGGAGGAUCGAGAAGAGCAACAUCAAUGGCUAGAGGGCAUUAAAAAUCCAUGUGCUAUCACCAUUGAAUGGAUAGAUAAAACAAACUUGAGAGACAAUCCUAGAGGAAUUUUAAGCAUUCAUGAAGAAUCAUCCUUGGAGUUUGAGAAUGAGAGAAACAACAGUGAGCAUGGAAGUUAUUUCAUAAAUACCUUACCCAGUCCUUGCUCAUAUAAAACAUCUCUCCAAUCAAUUAGUCUCUCCAUCCUUAUCACAUUUGAGAUCUCCAACCCUCUCUUCCUUUCUAUUUAUAAAACUUUAAAAGAGCGGUUGUCGAUGCAUAUGUCUAUAAUAAAUAUUGCAGAUCUCGAUAUAGGUCAGCGUUGGAGGGGAAACCACUUCACUGACAUAAAUUGAUGGUUUCCCAAAGCUUAGCGUCCUUAAACAAGCACUUAUCAGAUCGUAACAUGAACUUCUAAUUAUUUGCAACAUUGCCUUGUGUAUUGAGCAUAUGAGAUAAUUAUAGAAAUAUUCCUUCGGGUAUUCGUGUCACUAACCUUUCUAGGAUUGGAGCAAGAAGAUCUGAGGAAUAACAAGCACAAGGUAUGUCCAACCAAUCAUCAUGCAACAUUGAAUUAAAUUCAUCAAAACUUGAAUUUUGUAAAAUUCAAGCUUGGGGGAGUACUUUACAUAAAAACAUCUUUUGCCAUGUUGCUACGUUGGUUGUCCUUACCUUUGAGACAUGCUCAAUUUGUUAAAUACUAAUCACGCUACUUCAUCUCCACUUAAGUAGAUCUUUAUAAGCCAUCAUGCUACCUUUGUUUAUCCUAGUAAGUGUUAGUUUGGAAGUACUGUACAUACUUCUAUUGGCUUUUAAAUUAAGCGUGGUGCUUAGGUUAAAUAGCCUCCCUUAAUUUGAUUAGACAUGGAGUCUAGUUUGGUUACUGAACUAAAAACUGCUUGAGUAGGCCUUGGUAUAUUUUGUCGGAUUAACCCCUACAGGAAAACAUUCAAUAUCAACUUGGGAAGUCCUGAGAUAAACUCACAUUGGAGAUGAAGAAAGUGACACAUGAAGUUUAACAAUUUGCACAAGGAAGACAUAGCUCAUUCAUCAUAAGAGAUGAUCCAUGGAGGGUGCCACAAACACGAUGCACAACCGCUAAGAAAGGAAAGCUUCUACAAGGUGAUACUGUACCGCCACUCUUCAAGUAAGGUAACAUUCUAAGGUACUUGACUAUCGCUUUUAUAAGCUUCUCCUUGGUUGUAGUAUUCACAUAAAUAAAGAGACAAACAUGUAUGAUUUAUAACUCCAAACUUAAUUAAUUCAACAUGUUUAGUCCUUUAAUCUUUGUUCUUAGUACUACCUUCGUGAUCCCACGCACCUAAACAUAUAAGCUAAUAUGUUGCACAUUCAAUCUUUGGAAGAUAUAAACAAAACAUAAAUAUAGAUAGAUUAUCUUUCCAUUAGGUUGAGCCAUCUGAUCUAACACAUGUUUUAAAUGCUACGAUCCAUCAACUUUGUCUUGCUCACUAUGCUUAAGGUUAGAGAAAAACAAAUACACUUUUGGUUUUGUUGGUGUUUUCCACCAACAGAGCCCAUGCACUUGAUCUCUGCCUUGUCUCUAUGAGCAGGACACAUUUUGAGAAACGUGAAGGCAUUUUACAACUCCCAGAUUCCAUCAAGUGAAGAACCGGGAUCUACGAGCAUAAACACAAUGGAGAUCAGACACUUAGUUUCCCAAAGGAAAUAUUGAAGAACCUCUGUGUCCAAGUUGGUACCUUGUACACUCCAGCAAACUUCGUGGUGAUAGAGACUGGCACUGAGGAGAGGGCACCCAUCAUCUUAGGGAGGCCAUUCCUAAACACCAGAAGUGUCAUCUACGCUAAUGCUGCCAAGAUCAGUUUCUACAUCAAGGGGAAGAAGGAGAUUUUCCUUCAAGAACAAGACUACACAAACUACAGAGCAACCCCGACAUCAACCAAGAAAGAGGACCAACAGGAGGAAACAAGAACAAGCAAAUGUGGAUAGAGUUAGCUAAGAUGGUCACUGCAGUUCAAGGAGGUCAAGAUCGUCGACUCAAGUCACCUUUCUUGAUCAAGAAGGACGACCCUGGUGUUCCAAGAAUCGAAUGCACAAACAAUGGAUACUCUUUUUAGAAGACAAUCUACGACACCGGAUCUGACGACAACAUAAUGGCCGUAGUCACUUAUCAGCUCCUGCAUGGAACCAUGCCCCUACAACCAAUAUAUUCAACUCCAGAUGAUUUUCAGGUCAUUGACAUGGGAGAAUACGAGUAUGAUCCACCCACCAUCCUUGGAAGACCGUUCCUCAACACUAUCAAAGUUAUCAUCUACAUUGGAACCGGAGAAGUCCACAUGCACUUCCCCUCUGAGAAGGUACGCCGCUAUUUUAUUGACCCUAACUAUAUAGUUGAAGAUUCUAAGCAGGUCAGGACAAGAAGAAGACAAACCGCAACCAGAGGAGGCAAAUCGGACGGAUGGGUAGACUACGAAGGAGAAGUGAUAAGGACUGAAGACAUACAACUUGAACAGAACUGUCCUGAGGAGACCGUAGCACCGAGUCAGGUGUGGAAAGAGAAGAUAGUUAUACACGAAGAGGAGGCGCCGCCGGAACCACCGACUACGCCACCCAGCAAAUCCCAGGACGAAUAAGAAAACGGAGAGUCCCGUUCGGAGGACUUAAAAAUACCGAGCGCCUUGCCAAGAGGUAAACUUGGUAGUUAUCCUUUCCCUUUUAAUUAUUUUAAAUAGUUUACUUAGUUAAUCAUAUUCAUACUAUCUUAAAAAUAAAAGAAAAUAAAAAUAUGAAAAACAGUAAGCCCCAUGUGAGUAUACGAGUGGCAUAAAACCCAUAAGUACAUUCACUGUGGUGGCAUAAAAAUAAAAUAAAUAUUUUUCUGCUUUAUAAAAACAAAAAUAUAAAAACAGGGAGUAAUAUUUAUUAAGGAGUCUCAACAUGAUAAAGGCUAGAUAUUUAUGCUAACACUUAAUCAGUUCCACAAGCUUUGUUGUCUAUUUGAGCUCCACAGAAUUUAAGAAUCAAGAAGACUAGCAGACGGAGGACAUUCUAAUCACUGUCAAAAUACUGCUGACUUUCAAACACACCUCUGCCACCUGCUAGCUACAUCAAGAGAAAUUACGUCAAAAUUCAGCUUGGGGGAGAGCACCCCCAUUUAUCUCGAUAAGUAUUUCUAUCUAUCUUUAUACUUAUACUAUAUUAGAAUAUAAAUACACAUAACUAUAAAAAACCAAAUAAAGAUUUUAUGCUUAUAUAUAUUUUGCUUAGUGUGUUUAAUAAAGUGGCUAUGCUAAUCUGAAUCUUAAUAAUAAAACUUAAGCAUGGAUAUGAUGAAUAGUUGCUCUGCCUAAUUUGCAAAUUUGAAGUUCUCUCUCGAGUGUAGAUAUAACUGUUAUAAUUUAAGGCUUGCUCUAGACCUAAACUUGUGGGAUAAAAACUUGAUCUGAAGUCUAAGUUGUUAACGGAUACGAUAUGGGAAGGUUGAGCUGCUGUUUAUCUGUUCCUAGAGAUGCUAGAAUUCUGGAGAAUUUUAUCUUUAAAAAUCUUUAAAAUAACACAUGAUGAGUUCCUAUAUGAUGAGAGUUUAAAUUCCUACCACAGCCAUAUAUACAUGCUUGCUAGACUUUGAGCCACAUAUUUACUUUUUACUGCUUAUGAGCAUUGAGUGUGGUCAAGCUGUGUAGACCCUUAGGAGCUUGUCAUGUGGUUAAAUCAAGAUUCACUUGCACGUUCAGUCAUACAUGCUACUUCUACUCCGGAAGUACCAUCCACAUAUAUCCACUCAUUUCCAUCUCCACAUUCACCCAAAAAUUAUUCUACUCCUAAUCCGGGAGAGAAUAGCCAAAAAUAUUAUCCUAUCCCUGUUAUUCCCUGUAAAAUAAAUGCUCGAGUUAUCCUGGUUACUACCACUUGCUAUAUUAUUUCAGGAGAUGAGUGCUCUAAAAAAAGAAAGAAAAGAAAAAAAAAGAGAGAUACGAGGAAAUAAAAAGGAGCAAGUGCUCGAAACCUCGAAAGAAAAGAAAAAGUGAGACGAGAGGUAAAAAUGGACAAGUGUCCGACAGUAGAAUUAGGGGUGCAAGAUACCCACCUGAGAAAAAAAAAGAAGAGCAUCUCAUUCUCCUCAUAAAGUUUCAAAAGCAAGGAAGGUAUGUAUCCCCUCAAAGAGCAAAGUAGAAUUAGACUUCCACCACCAUUGUUAUCACCAUCAUCACCAUACACCAUUCAUUCGCCACACAUGCACAUCUUUAUUUGGCUUAUUGAUUUGUUUCUUUGGAUCCAUGGUUUGACUAUGCAAUAAAUGUCUUGUAAGUAUGUAUGCUUUAUCUCCCACCUAUGAGCUCCAGAUAUUAAAGCCUUAUUAGAGUAGGGUGAGAGAGAAGACAAUGUCACUAUGCUUCAUACCACAAAUACUACAUAUCUUGAGAGAAGGCAUAUACCAUCACUGCCUUGGUAAGGAUCCAAAAAUACCACAAAAGAGAGACCUGAGAGAAUCAUACAAGGAAUCUCUGAGUUUUAUUUGAAAAUCUGCAAAAAAACCCCAGAGCUAUAGCUGAUCAAGAAUGAGAGACAUGGCACUUGACUAGACUGUUCUAUCUUUUAACCACUCAAGACAGAAGUGACGGUUACAAGUCCCAUGGUGAAGGUAAAGUAAGUAAGUUUUAAGUCUUGACAGUUUACUCUAACCCAGA
rnacentral:lncRNA from 1 species